UACGGGGGGGGCAAGCGUUGUUCGGAAUUACUGGGCGUAAAGGGCGCGUAGGCGGUUCGCUAAGUUGAAUGUGAAAACUCUGGGCUUAACCCAGAGCCUGCAUCCAAAACUGGCGAACUGGAGUACUGGAGGGGAAAGCGGAAUUCCUGGUGUAGCGGUGAAAUGCGUAGAUAUCAGGAGGAACACCGGUGGCGAAGGCGGCUUUCUGGACAGUAACUGACGCUGAGGCGCGAAAGCCGGGGGGAGCAAACAGG
rnacentral:rRNA from 1 species